rnacentral:lncRNA from 1 species
AGGAAACUCCAGUAUGAUUAUGAAAGCCCUCAAGUGAGACCAGCUCAGGUAAAGAGGAUUAUGCUCAACAAGCAAGAACAAACCUUCACCUUUCUACAAUCCUUAGUACAGCAUUAUACAGUCUAUUGCCUGCCAUCUCUGAUUUCCUAUAGUGGGAACAACUUCAUUUAAAAAAAAAAAAAAAGGAUACCUGAAAUCCUCCCAGAAGAAUCAGAACUGACUGCUCUUUUAUCACAAACAGCCAAGAGUCAGGAGAUUCAGAGAUCUCCUUGGGGAACAUCAGGUACCCCCUAGGUUCAACUCAAGUGAAGCACUGGAAGACUUAAGAAAAAUAAAACAUCUGUGGAAAUUCUGCCAGAAACAGUACACAUAGCCCUUCUCUAGCUAAAGGGAAGGAAGAUGAUUCAUUCUGAAAGGUAUGAACAUGCAAAAGCUGUUUUGCUGGAUGCUUUCCAGAUCUACUUCGGGUG